rnacentral:rRNA from 1 species
GCCUACGGGGCGCAGCAGUGGGGAAUAUUGGGCAAUGGGCGCAAGCCUGACCCAGCAACGCCGCGUGAGGGAAGAAGGUCUUCGGAUUGUAAACCUCUGUCCUUGGGGACGAAAAAAAUGACGGUACCCAAGGAGGAAGCUCCGGCUAACUACGUGCCAGCAGCCGCGGUAAUACGUAGGGAGCGAGCGUUGUCCGGAAUUACUGGGCGUAAAGGGUGCGUAGGCGGCGAUGUAAGUCAGAUGUGAAAUCCCCGGGCUCAACUCGGGUUCUGCAUUUGAAACUACAUUGCUUGAGUGCAGGAGAGGAAAGCGGAAUUCCUAGUGUAGCGGUGAAAUGCGUAGAUAUUAGGAAGAACACCAGUGGCGAAGGCGGCUUUCUGGACUGCAACUGACGCUGAGGCACGAAAGCGUGGGGAGCAAACAGGAUUAGAAACCCCAGUAGUCCC